AAUCAACGCUGGCGGCGUGCCUCAGACAUGCAAGUCGAACGAUUAAAGCUCUCUUCGGAGAGUGUAUAGAGUGGCGCACGGGUGAGUAACACGUAAGUAAUCUACCCUCGAGUGGGGAAUAACAACCGGAAACGGUUGCUAAUACCGCAUAAUGCAGCGGCACCGCAAGGUGACAGUUGUUAAAGAUUUAUCGCUUGAGGAGGAGCUUGCGGCAGAUUAGCUAGUUGGUAGGGUAACGGCUUACCAAGGCUACGAUCUGUAACCGGUCUAAGAGGACGGUCGGUCACACUGACACUGAAUAACGGGUCAGACUCCUACGGGAGGCAGCAGUCGGGAAUUUUGGGCAAUGGGCGAAAGCCUGACCCAGCAACGCCGCGUGAAGGAUGAAGUAUUUCGGUAUGUAAACUUCGAAAGAAUAGGAAGAAUUAAUGACGGUACUAUUUAUAAGGUCCGGCUAACUACGUGCCAGCAGCCGCGGUAAUAGUACUCUAG
rnacentral:rRNA from 1 species